rnacentral:rRNA from 1 species
GUAGGGAAUUUUCGUCAAUGGGGGGAACCCUGAACGAGCAAUGCCGCGUGAGUGAAGAAGGUCUUCGGAUCGUAAAGCUCUGUUGUAAGUGAAGAACGGUCAGUAGAGGAAAUGAUACUGAAGUGACGGUAGCUUACCAGAAAGCCACGGCUAACUACGUGCCAGCAGCCGCGGUAAUACGUAGGUGGCGAGCGUUAUCCGGAAUCAUUGGGCGUAAAGGGUGCGCAGGUGGUACAUUAAGUCCGAAGUAAAAGGCAGCAGCUCAACUGCUGUUGGCUUUGGAAACUGGUGAACUGGAGUGCAGGAGAGGGCGAUGGAAUUCCAUGUGUAGCGGUAAAAUGCGUAGAUAUAUGGAGGAACACCAGUGGCGAAGGCGGUCGCCUGGCCUGCAACUGACACUGAGGCACGAAAGCGUGGGGAGCAAAUAGGA